GCGCUGCAAGAGAGAAACAGAGAAACAGAGCUGGAGGGGCUGGGAGCGGGAUGGAGGGAGGGAACGGCACCGCAGGGCGGGCACAGCCCCCGGCCGAGCCCCGGGUUUCCCCCCUCUCCCAGCACUGACCUUUCUCGUGCUGCAGCCACCGGCGCUCCAGCUCCAGGCAUUCCCUUGGGACCUGUCCUGGCCACAGAAAUCAGAGCUGCCCCUCCCGAGGAGCUGCAGAUCCCUGAGAUCCUUUCAGGCUCCUCUUUCCCAGCUGGACAGAACUGCCCUCAGAUGCCCUCCAGACCCUCCUGGGGACACCCUCCAGCAGCUGCAGAGCUUUCAGAGACUGUGAUGCCCAAACUGCCCCAGGGCAGGGACAGUCCCUGCCCUGUCCCUGUGCCUGGCACACCCCAGGACACUUUUGGCUCCCCUGGCGCUCAGGACACUGCUGACCCCAAGGCAGCCUCAAAAGGCACCUGUGGAAGAGGUUGUGCAGUGAUUUCUGUGAGCCAGAGAAAAGUUUGAGGAGAGGAUCCUUGUUCACCCCUGAAAGAAUUAUCUACCAAGGCUGUUGACACAGAAACCAAGAAAGAAAGAAGGAGAAAUAAGAGAAACCUAAAGAAUUUUCUACCAAGGCUGUUGACACAGAAACCAAGAAAGAAGGAGAAAUAAGAGAAGCUAAGAGCACUUUGUCUUUCCUGACCAACGAGUAAAGUAUAAACUUCUGAGUUCUGUUAGAAUGCACAAAAAGCAUGCAUGCUAGAAUAAAACCAGGUCUGAAGCCUUCUGAA